rnacentral:lncRNA from 1 species
AAACUGCGAAAUCUGACCAGAAGCCCUUAGCCUCCCAGGCUCUGUAGCUUCUGCAGUGAUGAGGCCUGGCCACCAGAUGGCUCCACAGAGGCCACUGCUCUCUCAGGGAAGAGGAGGGAGUAAGAAGGAAGCCGAGGCUAUCAUCAACAAGCCUGCCUUUCGGAUCCUGCAGGAAAAACCCAUGUA